rnacentral:tRNA from 1 species
UGGGAUAUAGUUUAGUGGUAGAAUGCUUGCCUAGCAUGCACAUAGCCUGGGUUCAAUACCUGGUAUUGCAG